rnacentral:rRNA from 1 species
UACGGAGGGGGUUAGCGUUGCUCGGAAUUACUGGGCGUAAAGCGCACGUAGGUGGACUAGUCAGUCAGGGGUGAAAUCCCGGGGCUCAACCCUGGAACUGCCUUUGAUACUGCUAGUCUUGAGUUCGAGAGAGGUGAGCGGAAUUCCGAGUGUAGAGGUGAAAUUCGUAGAUAUUCGGAGGAACACCAGUGGCGAAGGCGGCUCACUGGCUCGAUACUGACGCUGAGGUGCGAAAGCGUGGGGAGCAAACAGG